GCGACGUCGGUGGAUCGGAUGCAAUUUUCGAACCCCGAGUCGGAAAAGAAGAGGUGGAAUGAAUGAGGGCUGGAAACG
rnacentral:SRP_RNA from 1 species